AGGAAGCCUGCAGUCUGUGGAGCAUCCCGGCGCUUCCCUCCACCCGGGAGUCCGGGCAGCACGGCGGAGAGUCAGCGACACUGUGCUCCAUCCUCCGGCCAUCAGUGGCUGCUUCUUCCCAGGGCAUGGGAGUGCCAGCGGGGCCCAGAGCUUACAAUGGCAGCUGGUUCAGAGGCCAGAGGGGCCGGGGAGGAGCGCCGCUGCAGAGUUCAGAACCUGUCCCUGCUCUGGGCCUCCCCUCAGGGCCCAGGCCACUGCAGCCCCGCCUUGCAGGGUCCUGUGAAGGUCAUGGCGUCUGCAGGGGAAGGCUGAGCAGAGCUCCCAGCUAAGCGGUCAGUCGGGCAGCCUUCGUCAUUGCCAGGGUCUGGCUGCUGGUGCUCCGCCUACACCCCCUCCCCUCAGCGCCAUCCACCUCCCGCCUCUCUGCGCCUCCAGAGCAGGCCGUUCACAAUAGUCUGCAUCACGCGAUGGCGCCAGGCCACCCGGCUUUGCUCUCUGCGGUCUACGUGCGAGUUCUGGAACUGGCUCAACCCUGCAGAUGGGACGGGGCCGUCUUUUCCUUACUCUGGACUAGCAUGUGUUCUCACAGGGACACCAGCCUUCCUCUCCUAAAUGUGGGAGGCCCUCGGUGCUCACGGCUCUGCAUCCACUGGCUUCCCCGUUUCGAACAGGAGCACAUGUCUGCACCUGGACACCUGGAUGCUGCUGAACACGGCUAGGCUGUGUCCCCACCCAGAAUCUCUUCUUGAAUUGUAAUCCCUGUAAUCCCUAUAAUGCCCAGGUGUCAAGGGAGAUUGAAUCAUGGAGGUGAUUGAAUCAUGGGGCGGUUUUCCCCGUGCUGUUCUCCUGAUGGUGAGUUCUCGGGAGGUCUGAUGGUUUUCUAAGUGAGUGUUUGGUAGUUCUUCCCACAUCAUUUUCCUUCCUGCUGCCUUGCUUUCCCUUCAGCUUCCACCACAAUUGUAAGUUUCCUGAGGCCUCCCCAGCCAUUCCUCUCGUGCAGCCUGCUGAACUGUGAGUCAAUUAAACCUCUUUCCUUUAUAAAUUACUCAGUCUCGGGCAGUUCUUCAUAGCAGUGUGAAAAUGGACUCAUACACUGUCUCAGGAUGGCAUCCAGGCAGCAGGGACAUUGAGGCCUCAGUUGGCUCCAGGAGGACGCAGAAACUUCCUUGUUUUGCCAUGGCUGAAGGCACCAGACCUACCUACAGGGCUCAGUGGGGGAGCUCACCCUAAACUUGGAAAAUAACGUAAUGUGGUUGGCACAAUUGCCCAAGAGAAGAGACACUGGAAUGAUAGCGGCUUAAGAAGUGAGAAUACAAAUGUACACAGCAUGAUGUUUCUAAAAAACGACUGAAGUACUUUUCUUUUAGCCUUUUUUAAAUGCAUGAGUUUUUCCUUGGUGAUCGUAAGGCGCCUCUGUCUUGAGUUGCACUGAGUGGUAGGAGAAUUAGGGUUUUUUUACAGAAAGAAUGUAAAGAAAGCACAGUGUUAAUGCACAGCUUCAGAUAUUCAAAAUAAAACUGUGCAAUUAGACAAAAUGCUUGAAAGCCAUGAAUUGCC
rnacentral:lncRNA from 1 species